UAAAACACUUCAAGACGUCAAUAUACAGAA
rnacentral:piRNA from 1 species